rnacentral:lncRNA from 1 species
CAGUUUAUUUUAUUGGUCAUAGAAAGAGAAAUAGGUGAGUUCUCAAUUCUCUGUGGAUUCGAUCCUUUCACCACUAUCUGCAGUUGUAAAUUAUUGAUAACCAGAAAGGUUAUUUUUGACCGGCUUCGACAACCGCGAGUCAAAAAUUGGCGCCGUUGCCGGGGAAUUGAUUUUACUUAUUUAUUUUUCUUUCAUUACCAGAUCUGCCACCCUCAACAAUGCUACUGAGCAAUUACCUUCUGCAUCUACUGUCAAGACUGCAGUCUGAGAAACAGAACCAGCUGCUGUCCAAAAGGCAGCCAUAAACACUGCUGCUCAAACAACACCUGUUGAAUUUGUUGCUAUCCAAAAAACAGCAUAUGCAGAAAUUACAGAACAAGCAUUACCUGCUGUCCAGGAGAUAGCACACACAUAAAUUACCUCAACAGAACUAG